GUCCCUCUCUGUCUCCAAGGAUCCUCCUUGGGCUGCUAGAACGCCCGUUUCGUUACUGCUGUUUAGUUGGAGGUAGGAACGGGCCAUUAGGCAAGCAGUUGGGUUGUAAUUAGUUGUGGACUGUCGGGAAGAAAGCUGUGUCAUCGAUAAGCAACAAAGAGAAACCACCUGAUGUUCACGGUUACUGGUGUUAGUACGUUCCUGAAACGUAAACUUUUGAGCUGAAUAGAGGUGAUGAUGAACAGUCUACACAGAUGGCUGCAAGUUGGGAAGAUGAUAAAGUUACAGAAGCAUCUUCAAACAGUUUUGUUGCUAUUAAAAUCGAUACCAAAAG
rnacentral:sRNA from 1 species